rnacentral:rRNA from 1 species
UACGUAGGAUGCUAGCGUUGUCCGGAUUUACUGGGCGUAAAGCGCGCGCAGGCGGCACUGUAAGUAAGGUGUGAAAUCUCCCUGCUCAACGGGGAGGGUGCACUUUAGACUGCAGAGCUAGAGGACGGUAGAGGGGGGUGGAAUUGCUGGUGUAGCGGUGAAAUGCGUAGAGAUGCGGAGGAACACCGAUGGCGAAGGCAGCCCCCUGGGCUAGCACUGACGCUCAGGCACGAAAGCGUGGGGAGCAAACAGG